GACAGAGGGUGCAAACGUUGUUCGGAAUUACUGGGCGUAAAGCGCGUGUUGGCGGUUUGGUAAGUCUGAUGUGAAAGCCCCGGGCUCAACCCGGGAAGUGCACUCGAUACUGCCAAGCUAGAGUAUCGGAGAGGUUGGUGGAAUUCUCGGUGUAGAGGUGAAAUUCGUAGAUAUCGAGAGGAACACCGGUGGCGAAGGCGGCCAACUGGACGAAUACUGACGCUGAGACUCGAAAGCGUGGGGAGCAAACAGG
rnacentral:rRNA from 1 species